GUUAACUAUAGAUAGUUGCAGCUGCAUUAUCGUUAUUUUUAUUUUGUUUACAAACAGUGCCAAACAUGUUCAAACAUGUUUAGUAGAUAUAAAGUGUAUAACAGUAGUUAUAAAGUGUCUUAAAGUUAAACAAAGUGAAUGGGUUCCAAAGAAAAUUCAUUUUCGGGGAAUUAUUUAAGGUGUAUUUUUGGUUGCCUAUUCAUGUCGUGAUUCAAGUGUUGGUAACAGCGUGUGGGGUCCAGGCGAAAAUGAAGUUUUCACUAAGAAAAACCCUUCAGCCAACGCAAAAAUAUGGGUCUACUACCGCCAUCUAUGAAUUUAUGACAACAAAAUGAUGCAGAAAAGGGGUUGAUGUUGUUUCAUCAAGACCGGUAAAUUUCACUUUUGUCAUAUUUAGACGUCCCACAUCAUAACCAAACUAUUCAGAUGACAAUUGAGAUCUACGGCAUUUACGGAGAUAUUGCAGACCUGGACCCAUAUCGACAACAUUGCAAUAAGGAACAAUUUAUGUUUUUGAUGUCUUUGAUUAUUAUAGAAUAAACUGAAUAGUUACUGAAAAA